rnacentral:lncRNA from 10 species
UGGGGACUACGUGAUGGGAUUAAUGUCUUUCAAAGGAAAUGAAGAAACACAGGAGCUUUCUCUCUCUCCAUGCUCAGGUACUGAGGAAAGAUCAUAUGAGCACACAGCAAAAAGGCUAGCCUGGACUUCUUUUUGUGGAGACUGGAUUCCAAGAUUGAAAGUAGAAGCUACAUGUUUUCUCCAAGCAGGGCUUUCAGACUUCACUUCUGCAACAUUUUAUUGAUGAAAGCAAGUCACAAGACCAGACUGAUUCAAGGGGUGGAGAAAUAGACCCUACUUCUUGAUGGAGGGAGGAGUAGAGUUACAUUGCAAAGGGAUCUGGACAAAAAAAGGAGUGAUUUAUUAGGAAUCAUGUUUAACAAUUUACCACAAUCCCCAGCGCAACUGCCUGUUAGCUGGAUCCAGAAAUGUCUACGACUACUGCAAUGCCACUUGGCCUUAGGGGUGAUGUGACCCAGUGUAAAGAGAUGGUGGUCUUAACCAAUCACAGUUAAGAUAGUUUAGUUUUGGAAGGUAUAAAAAAUAUGUAACAACAUGAAUGCACUUUUAGGGUCAGACAAGAGACUUGGAAAGAGCCUGCAAAAUGGAGGAGCCCUGAGGCCUAAGUCUCAUGAGUGUCAAUGCUUACCUGUAUCUAGACACUGGCAUCCCCCUUUUGAUAAGGCCAAGAUUGAUUGUUUUCCUUUUCUACCUACCCUAUAUCUAAUCCAUGUACAAACACUGUUGACACACAAAAGAACCCUAAAUUCAACAAUCUGUGAAGAAUUUUUGCACUAACAUGUUAGUUCAAAAACUCAACAUUGCUUGCUAAGACUAUUGCAAUAAACUCCUCUAUGAUCCCCUAA